AACGAACGCUGGCGGCAGGCUUAACACAUGCAAGUCGAGCGCCCUGCAAGGGGAGCGGCAGACGGGUGAGUAACGCGUGGGAAUCUACCCAUCUCUACGGAAUAACGCAUGGAAACGUGUGCUAAUACCGUAUACGUCCUUCGGGAGAAAGAUUUAUCGGAGAUGGAUGAGCCCGCGUUGGAUUAGCUAGUUAGUGGGGUAAAGGCCUACCAAGGCGACGAUCCAUAGCUGGUCUGAGAGGAUGAUCAGCCACACUGGAACUGAGACACGGCCCAGACUCCUACGGGAGGCAGCAGUGGGGAAUAUUGGACAAUGGGCGCAAGCCUGAUCCAGCCAUGCCGCGUGGGUGAUGAAGGCCCUAGGGUUGUAAAGCUCUUUCACCGGUGAAGAUAAUGACGGUAACCGGAGAAGAAGCCCCGGCUAACUUCGUGCCAGCCGCCGCCGUAAGAC
rnacentral:rRNA from 1 species